rnacentral:rRNA from 1 species
AAUCAACGCUGGCGGCGUGCCUCAGACAUGCAAGUCGAACGAUUAAACUUUCCUUCGGGAAAGAUAUAAAGUGGCGCACGGGUGAGUAACACGUAAGUAAUCUACCUUCGAGUGGGGAAUAACGUCCGGAAACGGACGCUAAUACCGCAUAACGCAGCGGCACCUAAUGGUGACAGUUGUUAAAGGAGCAAUUCGCUUGAAGAGGAGCUUGCGGCAGAUUAGCUAGUUGGUAAGGUAAUGGCUUACCAAGGCUUCGAUCUGUAUCCGGUCUAAGAGGACGGUCGGACACACUGACACUGAAUAACGGGUCAGACUCCUACGGGAGGCAGCAGUCGGGAAUUUUGGGCAAUGGGCGAAAGCCUGACCCAGCAACGCCGCGUGAAGGAUGAAGUAUUUCGGUAUGUAAACUUCGAAAGAAUGGGAAGAACUCAAUGACGGUACCAUUUAUAAGCUCCGGCUAACUACGUGCCAGCAGCCGCGGUAAUACGUAGGGAGCAAGCGUUGUUCGGAUUUACUGGGCGUAAAGGGCGCGUAGGCGGCAAAUUAAGUCAGCUGUGAAAUCUCCGAGCUUAACUCGGAACUGUCAGCUGAUACUGAUCUGCUAGAGUGCGGAAGGGGCAAUCGGAAUUCUUGGUGUAGCGGUGAAAUGCGUAGAUAUCAAGAGGAACACCUGAGGUGAAGACGGGUUGCUGGGCCGACACUGACGCUGAGUGCGCGAAAGCCAGGGGAGCAAACGGGAUUAGAUACCCCGGUAGUCCUGGCCUUAAACGAUGAAUACUUGGUGUCUGGAGUCUCUAUAGCUCCGGGUGCCGUCGCUAACGUUUUUAGUAUUCCGCCUGGGGAGUACGCACGCAAGUGUG